CUCUCAUCCUGCCCCCAGAAUAGGGAGCUGUGGAGAGAAGAGUCACUCAAAAGCUAUCUUCCUAUUCACAAAUGAACACAUAACAGUAAAGGAAGGCACUUGGUAUAAUGGAGUUGGCAUAAAUCUCAGUCCUGUUUCCCAUGUCUCAGACAUUUCACAGAAGCUUCAAAAUACUCUGGACAGAUUAGGGUGUGGAUGGUCUAGAUUUAGAGACCUGUCAUCCACCAACAACCCUCUGGCACUUAGUCAUUUCUUUUGUACCCAUAGCAGAGUGGAUAAAGGUAUGAUUUGUAGUCAGACAUAUGUGACUCCAAAUUCAGGCUCUAUCUCUUGCUAAUCUUGUGAGCUUGGGAAAAAUACUUGGCUUCUCUCCACCUCGGGUGCCCCAUUUAUAAAACAGGACAACUUAGCACUCAGUGAAUACACAGAGCUUAGCACAUGGUUACCACUUAAGGCAAAUACUAUGCUUGUUUCCUGCUAUAUUGCCUUGUCCAGGGCACAGAGAAGAUGGCACGUCACAGACUAAUACAAUUGGGACCAUGUCACUGAGCUCUGGAUGCAAGCAGAAGUAAUUUAAGCCACUUCCAGACCCUGCUAUAAAGGUUCUCUCUUCCUCCAUAUCUCUCCGGCAAGCCUUGAAGUCAUGUAUAGGCCUGGGCCCCUGUCAGCUUGGGCAUCUAUGAGAAGCAAGGCCUACCCACCCACCAACAUCAAACACAGAGCAUGAGAGUUCAAGUCCUCCAAGAAGCAGACACCAAGACAGAGUUAGAAGCACAAGAGAUUUAUGGGAGGAAGCCCCUGCAAUAGAUAAAGAGGACAGGAAGCAGGAGUAAGGAGUGAGAGCCUGGAGGCCGUGAUGCAGGUCCGACACACUCAGAAGGUAAGGGCAGAGGUGGAGGAUUGGGUAGCAGGAGUCUCAGACUGUAUGGUGCAGCUUUGUGGAGCUCUAGGCCAAGGGAACCCAUAGCAAAGACGGCCCACAGGGUAGUCCUGUAUUGCGCAGAAACAGCCCACCUCUAAGCUCCCCAAGGUCCUCAGUUGUUGGCUGGGAGCAAACUAGGGAGAAUGUGGCCUUAAGGUGAGCAAUGCCCUGGACCCCAAAGGUGGAGCUGGAGACUGUCAGCUAACUGUGCCUCUUACCUUGGGGUCUUUUUUGAAGGAAGGUCUAAGAAAUGCAUUUCCAAGGUUGCCUGAACCUCUCAAUAAAUAAUAGCUAUAUUUUACCAUCCCACAGUGUGUUUUCUCUCUCUCUCUCUCUCUCUCUAAUGUGUCAUUAAUCAAGGGUGUCAGCCUCUCUAGAAAGUGAGCUCCUUGGGGGCACCAUCAAUGGCUUCAUUGUGAUUACAGUUUAGUGUUUGGUUGGUAUGUAGUAAGAGCUUAAUAAACGGCAACUGGAAGAGUAAGUAACUGAGUGACAGCGUGAAAGUCCUUAGAAGAGUGUAGCUAACUCCUAGGAGGUUACUGUUGAGAGGACCUAUCUUGAGCAUAGUGAGCUGUUUCAUUCAGACUGAGGUAUACCCGCUUCACACACCUAAAGUCAUAUGUCAGAGCGGGACCCAGUGCGGGAAGUUUGUAUGCUCCAAAGUGCCUCAGGCUACAGAGGGAAAAAAAAAAAACUGUAAUGUAUCUCUUCCCCCUAAGAAGUCCUACACAGCUCUCCAGGAGCUUUAGGUUUGCUGCAUUCAGUUAGGGAAAAUGAGAAAAAGUCAGAGACACAAGCAGAAGGAAGAUGAAAACACAGUGCAAAAUGGCAAAGCAAAGACUACGAAAGUAAGGAAGCCUUCCGGGAGCUCUGAGGGCUUAGCAGCCCCAUCAGAAGUGCACGGAAUAUUAGAAGCAGAGAGGUAGGUGUCUUUUAAGAUGUGGCUUUUUUGAGACAUCUCAGUUCAAACCCUGAAUAUCUGCCUGACCCCAGACAACUCACUUAACCUCUCUGGCACUGAGAAUCACAUUUCAUGAAGGGAGGGAUCCUGUCUGCCUUGUUUAUGCUUUGUCCCCAGUGCCCAGCGUAGUUCUGGGAGCAUGACUGACACUCAAGCUAUGUCAUAGUAAGGUCUUGGAAUUGGAGUCAGACGGUCUGGAUUUGAACUCUGGCUGACAUUUACCAUGGGAACUGAGGUGAGUUACUUAAACAUUUUCUGCUUAGCUUCUUCAGCUGUAAAGUGGUUAUACAAAUGGUGACUAUUUCAUUGGGGUUGUUAUGAAGAUUGAAAUGAAAUAAUUCAUGUAAGUAUUUCCAACAGUAUCUGGCACAUAGCAUGUACCCAAUAAAUGUUAACUGUUAUUAUAAUUAUUAUUUUUGUUGAAUAAAUGAAUGAAUCUCUCAGACCUUUAGUUUUCUCUCCUGUAGAAAUGGACUAAAAUAAUCUACCCCCAUAUAUUUGUUCUGAGGAUUAAAUGAGAUAAUGUAAGUAAAAUGCUCAUUUCAAUGCCUGGCACAAACGUGGUCAGAGGAAAUGGGGUUCUUGUUCAAAGCUGCCAUAUCCCUUCCUAGAGCCUGAGGUGAAUACCUGGGUCUCUCUGUAGCACAGUAGCUGGGAAGAUCUUAGCCCCAAGCCAGGAAGUCCUUAGGUUCUGGAUCAGAGCCCCACCCCUUCACCGUAUUUACCAGCCAUCCAAACCCCACCCAGCCAUUAGAAUUUCCCUUUCUCCCUCUCUGCUCACUUAGGGACUGCUAACUGUCAAUAAUUUAUUUUCCCAAUGGGAAAAGAAAAAGUCUCAGGGAGCACAUCUUUCUCCUUUGUUCAGGUCUCUCCAUUGCUCUCUGCAGCUUCCACUUUUUAUAAAUGCUUCAAUCAAGCUGCCUUCUAUAACGCAUUCUCCAUUUGCUCUCUGCUUACAGCUGAAGCAUUUUUGUGACACAGCUUCUAUGAAGAACAUUAUGCAAACUCAUGUUGCAUUCUACUCUAUUCUAAAUCUCUAACCUGAGGACAUUCCUCUAGAAGUUUAGACACCCCAAAGUCAAUGAAGAUCACAGCAAUCAAAACUCCCAUCAUCUAUUUUCCAUUGCAGAGGAUGCACACCCCACACAGUGCUUCCAUUAUAGACAAGUAUAGGUUUAAGGCAUUGGUGAAUGCCAGAGAGAAAGAGCAAAGAUUAGACAGAAGGUGUCUGCUUCAAAUCACUGGCCCCAAAAGUAGCAGGGCAUCAGGAGCAUCCACUCAGCUUUUAAGAAGGGAAACUCCUGGCCAGGCACAGUGGCUCAUGCCUGUAAUCCCAGAACUUUGGGAGGCCAAGGCGGGCAGAUCACCUGAGAUCAGGAGUUCAAGACCAGCCUGGCCAACAUGGUGAAACCCCAUCUCCACUAAAAAUACAAAAACUAGCCAGGCGUGGUGGUGUGCACCUGUAAUCCCAGCUACCCAGGAGGCUGAGACAGGAGAAUCGCUUGAACCCAGGAGGCAGAGGUUGCGGUGAGCCAAGAUCAUGCCACUGCGCUCCAGCAUGAGCAACAGAGCAAGACUCCAUCUCAAAAAAAAAAAAAAAAAAAAAAGAAGGGAAACUCCUUACUCUUCCCUUGUGGAUUAUAUUAUAAUGACACCACCAGGACAUACAGACUUACAGGGACAAAGUAUCCCACAGGGACAAUGGGCCAAAACCUGUGGAGUUUCGGUUCUAUAUUGAUAAAUCAGUGACACAAAAGCAUCCCUACUUCAGGGUCUGUCUGGUAGGAAAGGACACAAUGAGAACCAAGCAGUAGGUCUGAAAGACCUUUCCUUCUUUUUUAUUGAGUAGCUACUUCGAUUUUCCCAAACAUAUUGUGUCCGGAGUUAGUUCCUUCUGGUGGUUUCGUGGUCUCGCUGACUUCAAGAAUGGAGCCAUGGACUUUCACGUUCUGCUUCUAGGUACCCUGAGGUUACCUUUACGAGUUCAUGACACAGAUCUUGGACUGGACUUUUACUCAAGAGGAGGAAAAAGUUCCUGGUUUGGACUCAAGACUCCAAAAUCAAAGUGAGGAAUGAAAACAGAAACUAAAGAUAACUUUUUCUAUUUCCAAUUCCCUUAAGCCCAGACACCUGAUACCCGGAUAUGGUUCAGACUUCAUCCCACUCACAGACUGCAAAGUAAAUGUGGGAGAAGUGUGGUUCUUAUCCUUAGGGUGGCUUGUUGCCCUCUUAUAUGCAUUGCUUCUUUCCUUCCAUUAUGCAAAUCCAUUGGCCAGUAUAAGCAUUGUACACUCCUACAACCCCCAGCCCCUGCAGUAGGCCACCAAAUGUUAUUUCAGGUGGACUGAAGGUCACACAGGAACUCCUACAUGUCAUAAAUGACAUGGAAGGAACAGACUCUGAAACUACAAAUGUCUGGUAUUCAGUAAACUAGGCAAUCUGGCCUCAAAAAGUUCACAGAUGUUGUUACCCUAAGACAACAUUUUUCUUCCACUUUUUUAGGCAUAGCAGAUCUUUUUUUUAACCCUACACAUUCAUGCCUUCUUCUACUUUGUUCUUUUAUCUAGACGGUGAAAUAUAAUUGGCAAAUUUAAAUCCAUGCAAAAGGAUUAAUGCCUUGUGGAAAGAAGUGCAGGUGAAUAGAAAUGCUGGAGGUGGAUCCCAAGAUCUAAAGUCAAGGACUGGAUCAGGGAAGUCACUGGACAACUUUGAGCUUAAUUAAUCUCAUCAAGAAAUAUAUAUAAAGAUUAACUUCUCCAUCUUCCAUGUGUUGUGAGAAUCAUUGAGAAACAGCAAUACAUUGUAUUAGAAUAAAGACAGUGUAUAAAAACCAAGAAGAUAUGCCUCACUCACUAUCAUCACCAUCCUCACCAUCACGAUAUGAUCAUCACCAUUUUUACUCCAUUAGUGCCUUAAAUGUUUUCCAUGUUGUACUGCUGCCACCUAAUGGCAGAGCUGAAUGAAUGUGAAGCUUCCUUCAAGUCACAUACUCUGGUUUUGCCUUUUCUUAAAUCUGUAUUCACCUGGACUGAAGUCAGAAAAUGUACAGGCUGGAAAAAAAUAAACAGAAAUGACUGCACUUGUUAUACUUGGCAAGUAGAAUUCUGCCCCAACCUUGAAUAAAUGGGGCAGAAAUGAGCCCCAGGUCUAGAUUAAGGGAACGCCCACCAGGUGGUCUUAUCCAUUUUUCAUUAGUCCAAAUGUGUUUUGUAUGUAACAAACCAUGCUCCUAUUAACUUCCAGACAUAAAAUGAAAACAUUUAGAGCAAGCUGUGGACUGAUUAUCAGAAUUGGAGGGAGUGUGGCAUUUUGAAACUCUUGAGACAGAAGACUGGGUCUACUGGUGUAAGGAGCUGUAGCGGCAACUGGUUGCAGGAAUUGUACAUAUGGCCUUGCAGAACAUCUUUCCAAGGCGUCUCAGACUGUGUGGUCACUCUCAAAAGGACAACAGUUUUACUCCCAGAAUUUAUGAAGAGACAAAGGCUCUGACUCCUCUUUGGUUUCCUUCUUAAAACAUUCUACUUAGACAUUCCACAGGGCAAUAAAAACUAAUAACUAGCCGUUUGCACUUUUCAUUUCCAUGGUAACUUUCCUACGUAGGUAUUCCAAAGUUCUUAUAAAAAUAGGGAAUGCCGAUUGACCUACAUCCAGGAAAUGAGGCGAUAGUUUUAUUUCAGGUCCUUAAGCAGAAACCUACCCAUUUUCAUAUGAGUAUCUGUCUGCAGAAAGUCAAUGGGGCUCUAAGUGCAAGGACAUUGUCCCACACACUUGGACAGAAAUAAAGCAGCUGGAGAAGACUGCUGAAUUCAGGCUUCUCUCCAACAGUGAAGAAAGCCCAACCUGGCAUGGUGAAAGAACCCCUCUAUCACAAUAUAACUUGGGAUUCACGAAGAUGGCAGAAGAUUUUGGAGAAUGACUGGAUUUACUAUCUUACAGAACAAGAACUAAAUAUAUUUUAAUGUACAUGAAACUGCAAACAAAUUUUCAAUAUGAUAGAGAGUCUGAGUGAAAAAUGAAAAUCCAUACUUAAAGUAGAGGAGGACAGAAAUAGAAAUUGUUACAUUGAAAGAAUCAAUCUGAACUCAUCAUUUUAAACAGGAAAUAUAUUUUCCAUCCCUGUCAAUGAUCCAAAACCAGCAGCUUCACCUUUUCCCAACACUCACGUCUAAUUCUGGUCUGUGCAACCAAUUGGUCAGCAGCCCAGACUCUUCAUCUUAGCUAGUCUGGGAGACUAUUAUUUUUCAGUUGAGAGUGCUAAGAUUAUCACAAGCCUAGGAUGAAAAUAGAAUACUGUAUGUGGUAAAUUUACUGUAAUUCUAGAAAGAUAACUCUGAGAAGAAACCAAAAUUAAGGUGUAAGAAUAAGAAUGGAAAUAAGAAUUACAAUGAAAAUAGAAAUAAGAAUAAAAAUAACAUGAGAAUAAAGACGUGGAACAUGACAUUUCAAUUCAUGUUAUUUGCAUUAUGGUAGUAAGUUUUAUUGUAAGUGUGUUAAUGUAUUAAUCACUGAAGUAUUUUGUAUGUCUUCUGUCUGCAUCCUAGCAUGUUUAAAGCAUUUUGAAAAAUUUCUGGAGAUGUGUGCUUUUAAUUAAAUCAUCAGAAGGGUUUUAUGGGACAAAUUUAACUUUGCAGCCAAUGUCUAAGAAUUUGGGAAAAUUCAUUGAAUCAAUAUGUUUUUAUUUAUCAUAAUCUACCAAUAUGUGAAUAUUUAAAAGAAUGUUUAUUAUUUAUUGCUUAAAAAUAAUUGGUUGAUAAAUUCAAAAUAUCAAGAAUUUAGACAUUAG
rnacentral:lncRNA from 10 species